rnacentral:lncRNA from 1 species
CUCUGGACUACACCAAACGAAGUCUGGGAAUUUUCAUUGACCUCCAGAAGAGAAGGAGGCACAUGCCUGGCCGCAAGCAGGGAAGAUCUAUUACCUCCUGCGGCAGAGCGAGCUGGUGGACCUGUACAUCCAGGGGACCGGCUGAACGAACGCGUGGCCUACCACCGGCUGGCCGCCCUGCACCACCGGCUGGACCAUGGCAAGCUGGCGGAGCACUUCUACCUCAAGGCCGUUUAGCUCUGCAACUCGCCGCUGGAGUUCGACGAGGAGACCCUCUACUACGUGAAGGUGUACCUGGUGCUCGGUGACAUCAUCUUCUACGACCUGAAGGACCCGUUUGAUGCAGCCGGGUACUACCAGCUGGCACUGGCAGCCGCCGUGGACCUGGGCAACAAGAAGGCACAGCUGAAGAUCUACACGCGGCCGGCCACCAUCUCCCACAACUUCCUCCUGGACUGCGAGAAGUGGCUCUUCUUCUACCAGAAGGCCAGGACCUUCGCCACAGAGCUCAGCGUCCACAGGGUCAACCUACCUCCUCUGCCACUCUGCGGGUGGGCCCCCUGGUUGGCCUCCAGCCACCCUCGCUGAGGACAGUAUCCGAGGGAGUGGGUUUUGUGCAAGGAGGAUGAUCUCCUGCCUCUCCUGGUGUCUCCCGUAGCUCGUUUUCUGGGUAAUGGAAGCAUAAAAGCAGGGUUCAAAUAGCAAUAAAUGUUUUUUUUUGCAAAAACAUACCGAAGUCCCCAUGGCAUCCUUCCCUGUGUGCUUCCUGGGCUGUGUCUAGGGGACAGCUCCUUCCCUGGUGGCAGCCCUCUGAUCUUGGGGAUGAGAAGGACCGUGAGUCCAACAGACCUGGGCCAGGUCACCAUGAGCCUCGGUUUUCUUGGCGGCCAAAGGGGAGAUGGUGAUUGAACUCUGGGCAGCUCCCUGCUCUCCCUGCUCAGAGUUCUUGCUGUAGGUCUCGUGCCGCCUUUGCCUUUAACCUUCAGGCCACUGUGCCCGGAUGUGGGGGCUGCUAGUGUCCCUGUUCGCCAUUGAAGAAAUAGAGGCACAGAGAGGUUAGGUGUCUGGCCCACCGUCACACAGCAGGUAGAGGCGGACACGCAGAGCCCAGUACACUGACCACCACACCACCCUGCCAGCCUGCAGCCAGGAAGGUGUCCCCCAUUAGGACCCAAGGUCAGCUCCUGGAGCUCUCUCGUGGUGUCAGGAGAGCCGCAGGCCAGUGAGGGUGGCCCCGGGGAUCCCUCACUCAGUGUCCUUUGCUCCCAGACUUGGUUGGGCCGAGCCUGGCCAGUCCCACCUCUGGCCACUGGUCA